UGGGGAAUAUUGGACAAUGGGCGCAAGCCUGAUCCAGCCAUGCCGCGUGAGUGAUGAAGGCCCUAGGGUUGUAAAUCUCUUUCACCGGUGAAGAUAAUGACGGUAACCGGAGAAGAAGCUCCGGCUAACUUCGUGCCAGCAGCCGCGGUAAUACGAAGGGGGAUAGCGUUGUUCGGAUUUACUGGGCGUAAAGCGCACGUAGGCGGACUAUUAAGUCAGGGGUGAAAUCCCGGGGCUCAACCCCGGAACUGCCUUUGAUACUGGUAGUCUUGAGUUCGAGAGAGGUGAGUGGAAUUCCGAGUGUAGAGGUGAAGUUCGUAGAUAUUCGGAGGAACACCAGUGGCGAAGGCGGCUCACUGGCUCGAUACUGACGCUGAGGUGCGAAAGCGUGGGGAGCAAACAGG
rnacentral:rRNA from 1 species